rnacentral:rRNA from 1 species
GACGAACGCUGGCGGCGUGCUUAACACAUGCAAGUCGAACGCAGUGGCGGACGGGUGGGUAACGCAUAAUCACCCUGCCCAUCAGAGGGGGACAACGGGUGGAGACGACGGCUAAUGCCGCAUUCUGAAGGUGGGGCUUGCGUUUGAUUAGCUAGUUGGGGGGGUAACGGCCCACCAAGGCGAGGAUCAGUAGCCGGCCUGAGAGGAUGAACGGCCACACUGGGACUGAGACACGGCCCAGACUCCUACGGGAGGCAGCAGUGGGGAAUCUUCCACAAUGGGCGAAAGCCUGAUGCAGCAAUGCCGCGUGUAUGAAGAAGGUCUUAGGGUCGUAAAGCACUUUUAGUCGGGAAGCGUUACCGACAGAAGAAGCACCGGCUAACUACGUGCCAGCAGCCGCGGUAAUAC